rnacentral:lncRNA from 1 species
UUUUUUUUUCUUUUAGGUCAGGUCGCCUCACCAGCCUCACUGGAGCGGACCGGUGAGGGCGGAGAUGUUUUGAACAAGGAUUGAGCAGAGUGUCAAUUAGGACCGGCCCCCAAAAGAGGCAAGAUGGGAAAAGGAGGGACCAGCCAACUGACAAAUGGGUUCCAUGCAGGGAAGAUGGGGUCUCUCCCUGUCUGUGGAUCCUGGAAUUCCAGUGUUUGGACUUCAGCCUCUUUCAAAGCCUGGAAAAGCUUCAGAUCUGCAAUAGCCUUCCUGAGGCAGCCGAGAAAGAACAAGUCCAUCUGCCAAAGGUGCAUGGAAUAAUGUGCCAGCCAGCCGGCUCUGGCUGAGCCUGGAUGCUGAGGGGCUGUGAGCUUCUUCCAGACUCACACCUGUUGUUUUUUCUUAAAGCCUGUUACAUACCUCUUUUUUACAUUUUUUUAAUUUUUAUUAACAUAUAAUCAAUUUCUACAAUGUUGUGCCUAUUUCUGCUCUACAGAUCCAGUCGUACAUAUGUACACAUUCCCUUUCUUUUUUCACUUUUUAAAGUUUUAUUGAAGUAUAGUUGAUUUACAAUGUUGUGCCAAUUUCUGCUGUACAGCAAAGCAACCUAGUCAUAUAUAAAUAUAUACACAUUCCCUUUCUCAUAUUCUCUUCCAUCAUGGUCUAUCCCAAGAGAUUGGAUAUAGCUCCCUGUGCUAGAGUAGAACCUCAUUGCUUGUCCAUUCUAAGUGGAAUAGUUUGCUUCUACUAACCUCACCGUUUCCAUAUUUCUGUCUCCUCAAGCCAUCCCACCGUUCCCAGCCCCUCCCUCAGCCUGCUUUCCAAUUUUCCAAACGAGAAGACCAAAUCCUCCUGUUCCCACCUGUGCUUCUCAGACACAAAGGGAGACCAAGGGUCCUGGAGCUGGGGUCUGGGAGUAAUUAAAAUCCUGCACUGUUUGUUUUUCAUUUACUUUGAUAAAUGGCGAAAACUGUUAACAAGCGAAGGCUGCGGUGUUCCCCCUCAGCCACCCUUGGUCCCCCACCCACCCCCGCUGCUUCCAUGAUCAUCCUUCUUCCCUCUGAGUGGGGACCACAUCAGGAGUGCACUCUGCCCCAGAGUGGGGACCUGGCUGCGUACAUCCACAGGGCUGCUGGGAAGGUACCUGAAGACGACCUGUCAGGGAGGGCUGAUCCUCUCUUUUCAAACUUUUGAGGGGAGUGGGGGUCCAGGUAGGUCUUGGUUUUAUUCAUUUUUUAAUUUUUAAAUUUUUUAGGGCCCCACCUGCCAUAUAUGGAAGUUCCUAGGCUAGAGGUCAAAUUGGAGCUACAGCUGCUGGCCUACGCCACAGCCGCAGUAACACUGGAUUCAAGCCCCAUCUGUGCCUACACCAAAGCCUAUGGCAACACCAGAUCCUUAACCCACUGAGUGAGGCCAGGGAUUGAACCUGCAUCCUCAUGGAUACUAGUCAGAUUCUUAACCCACUGAGCCACAAUGGAAAUUCUAGGUCUUGAUUUUAAAGGGAAAACUAAAAGAACAAAAAGUGUAAGCUCAUGACCUUCUGUUUGGCUUGUAAAGGCAUCCCCCUUUCCCAAGCCCUUAUGAAAAAGAGACGGGGCGAUCCAGUCACCUGGGAGAAAACAUUCAAGUUUCAGUCUCCCCAUCCGGGAAAUGGAUAUAGUCUUGUUUGCUCUUGAACUUAUCACACUAAGAUACCGUGAUAAUUAAGCAGCAGGUUAUCCAUGAGAACCUUGCCACGAGGUGCAAAGAAUUAGAGCCUUAGACUCUAAUUGAUGUCAGCAAGUUUCCUGCAUUCUCCCGGCCUCCCUGUGACUUGGCACAGAGGGAGACCCUGGCAGCUUCCCAAAGCAAUUUAGUCUCUCUGGUUAAAGGAGAGGGGCACUGGAGCAGGAUAGGUCAGGGGAAGAAGUGGGAGGGCAAGGGGGUUCCAGGCAAAUCUCCGCACCAUCUUCUGUGAAAAGAGCUUGCCCGUUCCUCUUACAAGCCUCUAGAAAAUGCUGGAGGCCCCAGGUAGCCAGCUGGUCUCGGAUGUUGCAACUUGGUUUCCUAAGCAGUGCCACAACUGUGGCAAAUGCAAGAAAAAUGUCCAUCUGCUAAUAAUGAACGUGUCUCAGUAACCGGGUUGUGAGACAAGUGGAGGUGCCUAUAGAGGUGAUUUCUGUCCUGGGAGUUGCCUCCUGUGUCAUCUCUCAUGUGGCAGCUUGGAUCCAUCCAGCAGGUGCAGGCUGAGCCUCCUUAAGUCAAGUCCAGUGACUGCAAGGCUCUGACCAGGAAACCCAAGGUCAGCCCUUCUUUGUCUCCAGAGAGUGCUAUCCUGCCCAAGGAUGAUGCAAAAUCUGUUUCAAAAUCACUCACCAAAUGGCCUCUAAUUUAAGCCCCCAACUUUUCCUCAGAACCACAGGGACCCAGCAACCUUCUGGACAUGGCUUUAUUUUGAAAACCAGGAGAGGUUUUUCUGCUGGACUCUGUAUGCAGACGCCCCUUUUGCCCACCUCCUUGUGCCAUCAGCCAUCCUGGGAAAAAGAUGUCAACCUGAGCAGAGGGAAAUGAAAUCCAACAGGCUGGAGAAACCAGGGGAAAGGGCUUCUAAUGGUGUGAUUCGGAGGAAAAUGACUGUGCUCAGGACAACGCCCAGCAGUACAGAAGCAAAUUGCCCUGAAGGGGAAAUGUCUUCUCCACGUAGAUGUCACACAUUCCAUUCCUGGACGCCAGGUUCUGUACUUGGGGCCAGUGUCCAUCCUAUUACCUGAGUAUUAUACCCGAGUAUUCCCAGACACACAACGAAGUGUUUGAACUAAAACCAUCACCAGUGGAGUUCCUACGGUGGCUCAGCAGGUUACGAACCUGACUAGCAUCCAUGCGAAUGCUAGUAUCCAUGAGAAUGUUAGGGUUCAAUAUCUGGCCUCGAUCAAUGGGUUAAAGACUCAGCGUUGCUGCAAGAUGCUGUGUAGGUUGCAGACGCAGCUCAGAUCUAGCAUUGCUGUGGCUGUGAUGUAGGCCAGCAGCUGCAGCUCCAAUUCGACUCCUAGCCUGGGAACUUCCAUAUGCCACGGGUGUAGCCCUAAAAAUAAAAAUAAAAUAAAACUAUCACCAACACCCAAAAAGACAAUGAUUAUUUUCAGCUCUUUGGAGGAAUCUAAGGGAACUAAACUUUUCGGGAAAAAGUAGGAGGUGAGUAAGACAUAAGUCAAGCAGCACUACUUUCUACAGUAGGAAAAGCACAGGCCUGGGGGACACCAUGGUGACCCAGAAAUUCCACUCCUUGGGUAUACAUCCAAAAAAAACAAAAACACUGACUCACAAAGAUACAUGCACUCAAUGCUCACAGCAACGUUAUUAACAAUAACCAGGAUAUGGAAGCAACCUAAGUAUCUAUCAACGGAUGAAUGGAUAAAGAGGCUGUGGUACAU